rnacentral:rRNA from 1 species
GAUGAACGCUGGCGGCGUGCCUAAUACAUGCAAGUCGAGCGAACAGACGAGGAGCUUGCUCCUCUGACGUUAGCGGCGAACGGGUGAGUAACACGUGGAUAACCUACCUAUAAGACUGGGAUAACUUCGGGGAACCGGAGCUAAUACCGGAUAAUAUAUUGAACCACAUGGUUCAAUAGUGCAAGGCGGUUUUGCUGUAACUGAUAGAUGGAUCCGCGCCGCAUUAGCUAGUUGGUAAGGUAACGGCUUACCAAGGCAACGAUGCGUAGCCGAACUGAGAGGUUGAUCGGCCACACUGGAACUGAGACACGGUCCAGACUCCUACGGGAGGCAGCAGUAGGGAAUCUUCCGCAAUGGGCGAAAGCCUGACGGAGCAACGCCGCGUGAGUGAUGAAGGUCUUCGGAUCGUAAAACUCUGUUGUUAGGGAAGAACAAAUGUGUAAGUAACUAUGCACGUCUUGACGGUAUCUAAUCAGAAAGCCACGGCUAACUACGUG